GGGCGGCUAGCUCAGCUGGUUAGAGCAUCUCGUUUACACCGAGAUGUUUUUGAAAUCGGAAACCCAACA
rnacentral:tRNA from 1 species